rnacentral:ncRNA from 1 species
AAUGUCCGACUCCCCGCGGCUAAGUGCAUGUCAUAUGCCGCCCGGAGCGAAGCCGGAAUUCUUUAACGGCUUAAGGGUACAGAGGGAAACGGCUGUGCCUUCCGCAUUUGAAAAGGAGUAAUUAUCA